rnacentral:rRNA from 1 species
GAUGAACGCUGGCGGCGUGCCUAAUACAUGCAAGUCGAGCGAACGGACGAGAAGCUUGCUUCUCUGAUGUUAGCGGCGGACGGGUGAGUAACACGUGGAUAACCUACCUAUAAGACUGGGAUAACUUCGGGAAACCGGAGCUAAUACCGGAUAAUAUUUUGAACCGCAUGGUUCAAAAGUGAAAGACGGUCUUGCUGUCACUUAUAGAUGGAUCCGCGCUGCAUUAGCUAGUUGGUAAGGUAACGGCUUACCAAGGCAACGAUGCAUAGCCGACCUGAGAGGGUGAUCGGCCACACUGGGACUGAGACACGGUCCAGACUCCUACGGGAGGCAGCAGUAGGGAAUCGUCCGCGAUGGGCGAAAGCCUGACGGAGCAGCGCCGCGUGAGUGAUGAAGGUCUUCGGGUCGUAAAACUCUGUUAUUAGGGAAGAACAUAUGUGUAAGUAACUGUGCACAACUUGACGGUACCUAAUCAGAAAGCCACGGCUAACUACGUG